AGCCCGAAUAACCGAGGGCCUUUAGAUUGCCUCGAAAGAUGUGGCGUAUAAUUUGUCAAAAGUAUUUCUUUUGUAAUAUGAAUUAAACUAACCUAAAACAUAAUAAAACGUUUAAGUCAAAGUCAAUAAUUAAUAUUAACAAUAUAUUUUAUGGUUCUCACAAUUUUACAACCGCAUAUUUCGUUGAUCUUUGGAUUACAGGUUAAAACUGGUAGAAAUUUGUUUGGAAUUUAGGAUUGACUGUGAUCGGAUUUCGAAUAUUUUUUAAGGAGGUUCAUACAGUUGCAGAUUUGUGUGAUUUAGGGCGGCAUUUAGCGGUUGACCAUUAAAUAGAAAAGUCAUGAAGCCAAUUGUUUCAUUUAGCAGCUUGGAGAUCCAAACACCCAGCGUGGACGCUUGAGGACCAUGUCGUCAUCUAUUUACCCAGUCUUUACUUCUUCCAUUCUCGUCUCUUCCAGAUUUUUUUUUUCCUUGGAGUAGAAGAAAAAAGGUAGAAAUCAUACAGAAGUACACCGGAAAUUUCUAAACAAUGGGCACCCAAUUCCAAAACAGAGAUUUUUAAUGAACCUAAAUACUAAAAACCCAUAUUUCAAAUCAGUAAUAAAAGAAAAUAAAGGAGCAAUAAACUCUUUCUUGUUCUACAAUUAAACCCUGAAGAAGAAACAAAAAAUAAAAUGGACGCAGCCCAAAAUCCCCAGCAGUCUGUAUGUGCGCAAGAGGCGCUGGAUCUGCUCAAUUGUGUAACUCAAUUUGUUUACGAUCAAGAAAAAUACAUUUCCAUUCUUUAAUCGUUGCGUCAAUGUGUCCUUAAGAAGAUGUGUAUGUUAAAACUUUACCCAUAAACUUGCACACAUGUAGUGUUUAUUCUAUGUUCGUGGAGAGGUUUUAUUUUUUCGUUAAUGGGGGGUGCAAUCUUGUGCACGUCAUCCCCACCUUAAUCGUUUUGGCCGGCAAACGCAAUGGGCUACC
rnacentral:lncRNA from 1 species